rnacentral:rRNA from 1 species
UGGUGCUAAUACCGGAUGUGACCGCUGACCGCAUGGUCUGGUGGUGGAAAGAUUCAUCGGCUGAGGAUGGGCCCGCGGCCUAUCAGCUUGUUGGUGGGGUGAUGGCCUACCAAGGCGACGACGGGUAGCCGGCCUGAGAGGGUGACCGGCCACACUGGGACUGAGACACGGCCCAGACUCCUACGGGAGGCAGCAGUGGGGAAUAUUGCGCAAUGGGCGAAAGCCUGACGCAGCGACGCCGCGUGAGGGAUGACGGCCUUCGGGUUGUAAACCUCUUUCAGUAGGGACGAAGCGCAAGUGACGGUACCUACAGAAGAAGCACCGGCCAACUACGUGCCAGCAGCCGCGGUAAUACGUAGGGUGCAAGCGUUGUCCGGAAUUAUUGGGCGUAAAGAGCUCGUAGGCGGUCUGUCACGUCGGCUGUGAAAACCCGAGGCUCAACCUCGGGCCUGCAGUCGAUACGGGCAAACUAGAGUACUGCAGGGGAGACUGGAAUUCCUGGUGUAGCGGUGAAAUGCGCAGAUAUCAGGAGGAACACCGGUGGC